rnacentral:rRNA from 1 species
GUCUUUUUGAAUUAAAUAUAAAGUCUAACCUGCCCACUGAAAAAUUUUAAAUGGCCGCAGUAUUUUAACUGUGCAAAGGUAGCAUAAUCAUUAGUCUUUUAAUUGAAGGCUGGAAUGAAUGGUUGGACGAGAUAUUAACUGUUUCAUUUAAAUUUUUUAUAGAAUUUUAUUUUUUAGUCAAAAAGCUAAAAUAAAUUUAAAAGACGAGAAGACCCUAUAAAUCUUUAUAUUUUAUUUAUUUUAAUUAUAAAGAUUAUUUUUAUUAUAAUAAGUUAAAAUAUUUUAUUGGGGUGAUAUUAAAAUUUAAAAAACUUUUAAUUUUUUAAACCAUUAAUUUAUGAAUAAUUGAUCCAUUAAUAAUGAUUAAAAAUUUAAGUUACUUUAGGGAUAACAGCGUAAUUUUUUUGGAGAGUUCAUAUCGAUAAAAAAGAUUGCGACCUCGAUGUUGGAUUAAGAUAUAAUUUUGGGUGUAGCCGUUCAAAUUUUAAGUCUGUUCGACUUUUAAAUUCUU